GUGAGUGUGGACGCCACUGGCGGGGGUGCCGCGGUGCGCGAGCGCUCGGCCAGCGGCAGAGACGCCGCGGGAGCCGCCCCCAGCGCCAACGCCGCCGCGGGCGGGAAGGGCGAGGCUCGGCGAGGCUGGGCGAGGAGCUGGGCGGCAGACGCUGAGCGGGGCGCGGCGCGGGGCGCCGGACGAGCGCGGGCGUAGGAGGAGCGCGGGCGUAGGAGUCGGCGACCCGCUCGCUCCCGCGGCCGGUGCCUCUGGGCUGGGGGCCGGGCUGGGGGCCGGGCCGGGCCGGGCCGGGCCGGGCGGCCAGGCGGCUCCGCCCCUUCGCCGGGCAGCGGCUGAGCGCGCGAGAGGAGCGGCGCGGGGGCGCCCCCCUCGGCCGGGCGCUCGGGUUUCAGCCGCCGCUCCUCCGCGCCCCGCCCGCGCCUGGCCCGCUCGCCGGCGCCGGGAGAGACCUCGUAACGGAACUGGGACGCCAGCGCUGCAUUGUGGGAGCUUUUAAAGCGGCGGGGAGCUCGGCGCGACCCUCGGGCCCACCGGGCCACGCUCGCCCGGCCCGCGACGCCCCCCCGCUGUCGCCUGGCCCGCGACGCACCGAGGCCUGAGGACCCGAAAGCCGGGCGCGGGGAGAUGACCGGUGGCUCGUGACGGUCCCACGGGCAAAAUCUUCCAUCGCCCGGGGCUGAGACUUGUCAAACUGCCCUCUACGGUCACCCGGAAAGUAGGAGGCUUUUUCUGCAGAGGGGAAAAAAAUCAAAAAGAGCCGUUCCAUCCCCCCUCCAAGGACUGGGUUUGAAUUGCUUUUCAUCUGCAGUGGCUGUGAUUCAGCGUCCCUCUUAGCAGCAGGCAAUGACAGAGGCAGGAGAGGGGAAAAAAAAAAAGAAAGAAAGAAAAAACACAGCAAAUGAAUCAAACGGACCAGGUAGCAGGCAAGAGUGUGGUUAUCGUUGGACCAGGAUUCAGGAUCUGACUGAGUAGCUGACUCUUAAUCCAGUUUGUGUUGAUCACCAGGAGGAUCUGGACCUCAGUAUUACCACAUCUAGAGCUAUAAUCACAUCCCUGUUAAGCCUUCCUGAGAUCACACCAAAUGUCCUUGAUGGGAAUUGUAAACAACCCUUACUUCUGGUUUCUAAUGAUAUUCCAGGAAAGGAGCCUAACUAGAGUCAGUGAUAUGCCAACUCCACCUUUGCCUUCCACCAUGUUUGGAAGCUCCCUGAGGCCUCACCAGGAGCAGAUGCUCGUCCCAUGCUUCCUAUAAGCCUGCAGAACUGUGAGCCAUAAUAAACUGUGAAUUAUAAAUUGCCUUUAUAGCAAUGCAAAUGGACCAGUACAGAUGGGAUGCUGGGAAGACAGUUGUUUCCACCUUCAGUAAAGUCCGUGGAACACAGUUGUGACUAUAUUCUAGGCCAGCCAAGAUGCUUGUACUCAGAAAGGAGUGGUCUCAGGACCAUAAGAAAGUGAAAAAAUAAAAAUAAGAAAAUAAAGAAGGGAUUGUCAAUGAAUCAGAAUUCAUCAAGGUCAAAGUCUUAGGAAAUUCCUUCAUGAGGAAGUCUAGGGGGGCUAUGGAAAUGAAAUUUUUAAACAAAUAGGUAUGUGGUGCUGGCAGGAAUAAAUUAUGGACUUAUGAAUAUAACAUAAGAUUCUUUAUUACCUGGUCUCACCCGUCUUUCCACCUCUGCCCCCCUUCUUGCCCGACUCUGUGUAUCACCCAUAAUAAACUACUUACAGCUUCCUAGUGUUAAAUUUACCCUAAAGCUGCCUCCUUCAAUAUUUUAAGUUUAACCUAAAGGUUCUUCAUACAUAGUGAACUAUAACCCAAUGAUUAAACAGAUUGUAACCUACUCUUGUACCAGUCACCAAGUUUCAGCCAAUCAGAGGUGGCCAACUGUUCAAACCAUGCUCAAAUAAGGGAAAUGUCAUGGUGUAACUAAUCCAGCUGUUUCUAUACCUUACUUCUGUUUUCUUAGGUCACUUUCCUUUUUUGUCCAUAAAUUCUCUCCAACCACUCAGCAGCACUGGAGUCACUCCAAAGCUAUCCUGGUUCAGGGGUCUGUCUGAUUCACAAGUCAUUCUUUGUUCAAUUGAGCUCUGCUAAAUUUAAUUUGUCUGAAGUUUUUCUUUUAACAGAUGGUGUCAGAAAUGGACCCCAAAGUAGAGCUCCCAGUGAUCCCCCAGGAGCACUGAGUGACCACAAGGGGUACCUGCUGGGCCCGUCCUCUCGCAGUGUCCACUGCUCUCUUACAGCAACUGGAGAUUGUGGCUGCAUUCUCUCUCAGAUUCUGAAGCUCCAUACAUUGCCGUUUUCAGCUGUUCAAGCUUGCUUGAGCAAAUUUUUGAUCUUAGCUGAGUUUGGAAGUCGAUAGACAUUGGACUGGGUCCAGGAUUUGAUUGGAUCUGAUAAUUAACUGGCUUGGAUCCAGUUAGAUGCCUCGGUUAUCUGACUGGGUCAGAUAGAAACCGCCAGUAAAUAUUUUAAUAACAAUACUGCAGGGGUAUGAACUCUGGCUUUAAGAAACUCACAAGGAAUUUUAUGUUCUAUACCCUUUGUUUCUUUUUCUUGUGUGCUUCGGUCAGGAAAAAUCAUUAGUCAAGUUAAUCAAGGGGAUCUGAGAGCCAAAUACAAGAUUCAACGUAAAAAUGGAAUCCUUGGGCUAGGCGUGGUGGCUCAGGCCUGUAAUCCCAGGACUUUGGGAGGCUGAGGCAGGCGGAUCACCUGACCUUAGGAGUUCGAGACCAGUCUGGCCAACAUGGUGAAACCCCGUCUCCACUAAAAAUACAAAAAUUAGCCAGGCGUGGUGGUGGGCACCUGUAAUCCCAGCUACUUUGGAGGCUGAGGCAGGAUAAUCACUUGAACCCAGGAGGCAGAGGUUGCAGUGAUCUGAGAUUGCACCACUGCACUCCAGCCUGGGCAAAAGAGCGAGACUCCAUCUCAUAAAUAAAUACAUAAAUAAAUAAAGAAAUCCUUAAUUUCUGCGGAACUGAGUGCUCUACCUUCUGGCUACACCUACGUAUACCUGUAUGAGGUAUAGGCCCUGGAAGCAGCAAACACUUACAGAAAUGGUGAAAUCUUACUAAAGGGAAAAGAAAGCUGGAUAAAGUAUUUAUAGAAGAUAGAGGACCUGUGGUGGCUCAUGCCUGUAAUCCAAGGUGGAAGGAUUGCUUGAGGCCAGAAGUUCAAGACCAGUCCAAGCAACAUAGCAAGGCCCCAUCUCUACAAAAAAUGAAAAUAAAAUUAGCCGAGCGUGAUGGCUCAUGCCUGUAGUUCUAGCUUCUAGAGAGGCUGAGGCAGGAGGAUUGCUUGAGUCCAGGAGUUCAAGAUUACAGUGAGCUAUGGUCACACCACUGCACUCCAGCCUGGGUGAUGGAGUGAGACUGUCUCAAUAAAAAGACAAAAAGGUCAAGGAAGCUUUUCCUGAUCCACUAACUAAGGACAAUCAAACCCUUCAUGAUCUAGAAUCUGGAGACUGUGUCUUCUGGGAAUAGUAUCAGAGAAAGACUGCCCUUACUGCCCACAUGUAGCAAAACUUUGAGACGUUGAAUUAUGGGUCCAUAAUCUCACAACUCAGAGGGGCACCUCUAGACUCUUGGAACUGUAUAUCUAUUGGAGACUUUAAGGUAAAGCUGAACAGAGAGACGUUUUUCUCCAGAAGCAGACAGCACCAUAGUCAUGGACAGCUUUCCCAAGAUCACAGAUCAAGACUUCUCUGCCGUCAUGAGACUCAUAACCUCUUAAUUUUUUCUUGCUUAUGCUUCUGUGAACAAUAGAAUUGGAAAAGGGGUGGUCCCGCGUGCACCCAUAGGGUAUACUUUUAUUUGUGGAGGAUUUUGCUGCCAACCUUAUACAUGGGCAAACUUAUGCCUUCAUGGAUGGAAGAUAAAGGGCUAAUAUGGGUUAGAAAUUUUAAUGGUACCUUUGUUUCUCCAUAAUCAUUCAGAAACAGAACACUGGUCCACUCUUGUUAACCUACAUCAUAGGUUGAAGAGAACAUUGCCAGGAGGCCUUCAUCCUUCCAGAUGGGCACCAUUUGUUGGGUCUUUUUCCGUGGUAUGAAGAAAAUGAAGCAAUGAUUAGAAAUUGGUCCCUCGGCCGGGCACAAUGGCUCAUGCCUGUAAUCCCAUCACUUUGGCAGGCCGAGGCGGGUGGAUCACCUGAGGUCAGGAGUUUGAGACCAGCCUGACCAAUGUGGUGAAACGCCAUCUCUACUAAAAAUACAAAAAUUAGCUGGGUGUGAUGGUGCACACCUGUAAUCCAGCUACUCGGGAGGCUGAGACAGGAGAAUUGCUUGAACCUGGGAGGCAGAGGUUGCAGUGAGCCAAGAUCACCCCACUGCAUUCCAGGUUGGGCAACAGAGCAAGACUCUGUCUCAAAAAAAAAAGAAGAAAGAAAGAAAUUGAUCCCUCAUAAUAGGCUGUAUAGCAGAUUCUACUGCAAAGGCUAUGGUUGCACAACAGACUUCUUUGAAUUUGCUUGCUAAACUUUUACUGGAUAAUACUGGGAUUACAGGUGUGAGCCACUGUGCCCAGCCUCUCCUGUUUAACUGUAUUCAUUCUAAUGUUUACUUACUUCUUUAAUUUGUAAAAUUGGGUCACUUAGAGUUUUUUUAGCCUAUCUUGCCAUUUAGCCACUGUUACUGAUAAUUUGGAUGGAAAAGAAAAAUAAAUUAUAUCACCUCUCAUCUUCAGUGUAUAUAUGUGUUAACUUAGUAAAUAUAGUAUUCUUUCUCGUUCCUAAUGAAAAUUUAGUUUACGUACUGAAACACUGCAAACUUUUAUAAAUAUUGUGAUGUAUUUGACCAAUACAAAGGAUCUUUUUAGAAACAGCAAACAGUUCUCAGAUUAUAGGAAUUACUCAUUUAAUGAUAGUUUCUUCUU
rnacentral:lncRNA from 10 species